CUUUUCUCUCUAGUUGAGACUUGUUGUGAUUUGGUGGACUCCAAAUUGUACGACCCCCGUUUGAUCAUUCAAGUUGCAAGAGAUUGUUAUUCUCUUGAGGAUUGUUGCAUAAGAUAGGUGCCUUUGAUCCUUUGGAAGCUUUCAAGGUGUUAGGGAGUGUGAAAACUGUUUUGGAAGUCAAAGGGACUAGUCAAGAGUUGAUUCCCAAGGAGUUGGCGCAUUGAACACCUCCAAAACGUGGAGAAGGGGGCUGCACUCAUUAGGAGAAGUCAAAAAUCAGUUUGGGGUGUGUGAAAGGGUGUAGAGGUAAACAAAUAGUCAAACCAUUAAUUGACACAAGUUCCCAACUCAAUUCUCGGGAAGACUAACAGUCACCUUGAGAAAAGAGUGUCCAAGUUCAUAAUCUCCUCUUAGGAAAACGAGAAAGUCAAGGGUGCAAGUCCCUAGUGAUAGCAUCCAUGGUAGCUCCGAAUUAUUGAAGGACGUGGAUGAAGAUUUGGAAGUUCCAAGAAGACCCAUGACAAGAUCUCAAACAAGGAAAUUACAAGACAAGCUUAAUGGGCUGCAAACAACAAUUCAAAAGUGUCUUGUGAUGGAAGAAGAGCUCCAGCCCAAUUUAGAUUUUUUCCUCAAGUCUUACACUUAUUUGGAGGCCCAAAUUAAAGUCCAAUGUAAGAUGGAAUGAGGCCCAAAUCAGCCACAAAAGAAGAAGUUUCCAGCAGUCCAAAAUUAGCCCAAAUAUUAGUUUCUAGAAUAAAUAUUUAAUUGUUGUUUUAAUCUAUGUUGACUUGCAUUGGUCCAAGUGUGGGUAGUCUUCUAGGUUGUUUUAAUCUAUGUUGACUGCCUUGGUCCAAGUGUGGGAAGUCUUCUAUGCUUCUAGGGAAGAUAAUUCCCAUUUAUUUCUAUUUUGACUAGCUCCUUCUUUACAACUAUAUAAAGGGUUGAUUGUCAUUCAUUGUAAAAUCAGAUUUUGAAGAAUAUAUUAUAUUGAGAGUUCUUUUGAAA